rnacentral:rRNA from 1 species
UACGUAGGGUGCAAGCGUUGUCCGGAAUUAUUGGGCGUAAAGAGCUUGUAGGCGGUUUGUCGCGUCUGCUGUGAAAUUUCGGGGCUCAACCCCGAACUUGCAGUGGGUACGGGCAGACUAGAGUGUGGUAGGGGGAGACUGGAAUUCCUGGUGUAGCGGUGGAAUGCGCAGAUAUCAGGAGGAACACCGAUGGCGAAGGCAGAUCUCUGGGCCGUAACUGACGCUGAGGAGCGAAAGCAUGGGGAGCGAACAGG